rnacentral:rRNA from 1 species
AUUGAACGCUGGCGGAAUGCUUUACACAUGCAAGUCGAACGGCAGCACGGACUUCGGUCUGGUGGCGAGUGGCGAACGGGUGAGUAAUGUAUCGGAACGUGCCCAGUCGUGGGGGAUAACGUAGUGAAAAUUACGCUAAUACCGCAUACGAGCUAUGGAUGAAAGCGGGGGAUCGCAAGACCUCGAGCGAUUGGAGCGGCCGAUAUCAGAUUAGGUAGUUGGUGGGGUAAAUGCCCACCAAGCCAACGAUCUGUAGCUGGUCUGAGAGGAUGACCAGCCACACUGGAACUGAGACACGGUCCAGACUCCUACGGGAGGCAGCAGUGGGGGAUUUUGGACAAUGGGCGCAAGCCUGAUCCAGCCAUUCCGCGUGCAGGAUGAAGGCCCUCGGGUUGUAAGCUCUUUUGUCAGGGAAGAAACACCGGCUCUAACACAGUCCGGGAAUGACAGUACCUGAAGAAUAAGCACCGGCUAACUACGUGCCAGCAGCCGCAGUAA